rnacentral:rRNA from 1 species
GAUGAACGCUAGCGGGAGGCUUAACACAUGCAAGUCGAGGGGCAGCACGAGAUAGCAAUAUUUUGGUGGCGACCGGCGCACGGGUGAGUAACGCGUAUGCAACCUACCCUGUACAGGGGGGAUAACCCGGAGAAAUUCGGACUAAUACCCCAUAAAGAUAUGAAGAGGCAUCUUUUUAUAUUUAAAGUUCCGGCGGUACGGGAUGGGCAUGCGUAACAUUAGCUAGUUGGCAGGGUAACGGCCUACCAAGGCUACGAUGUUUAGGGGUCCUGAGAGGGUGAUCCCCCACACUGGUACUGAGACACGGACCAGACUCCUACGGGAGGCUG